UUGACCUCGGAUCAGGUAGGAAUACCCGCUGAACUUAAGCAUAUCAAUAAGCGGAGGAAAAGAAACCAACAGGGAUUGCCUUAGUAACGGCGAGUGAAGCGGCAACAGCUCAAAUUUGAAAUCUGGCCCUCGGGUCCGAAUUGUAAUUUGUAGAGGAUGAUUUUGGUGCGGUAUCUUCCGAGUUCCUUGGAACAGGACGCCUUAGAGGGUGAGAGCCCCGUACGGUUGAAUGCCUAGCCUCUGUAAAUCUCCUUCGACGAGUCGAGUAGUUUGGGAAUGCUGCUCUAAAUGGGAGGUAAAUUUCUUCUAAAGCUAAAUAUUGGCCAGAGACCGAUAGCGCACAAGUAGAGUGAUCGAAAGAUGAAAAGCACUUUGAAAAGAGGGUUAAAUAGCACGUGAAAUUGUUGAAAGGGAAGGAUUUGUGACCAGACUUUUUCUGGGCGGAUCAUCCGGGGUUCUCUCCGGUGCACUUUGCCCAGUAAAGGCCAGCAUCGAUUUUCGGCGGCGGAUAAAAGCAGUGGGAAUGUGGCUCCCUACGGGGAGUGUUAUAGCCCAUUGUAUAAUACGCUGCUGGGGAUCGAGGUACGCGCUUCUGCA
rnacentral:rRNA from 1 species